GGAAGAAGUGAUGCACAGAGCAGGGGAGGAAGUGAGAGGUGGGCGGAGACCCCAGGGAGAACAGCAGGACUGUGCCCAGGACAAAGUGGGGGUGUCGAUUGGGGUGCAUAGGUAACUCACCUCCGGACCUCACACCCGGAUCCAGGGAAACACCAUAUUUGCCGGAUGUUUAUCCUCAGCCUCACUUGUUUAAGGACCUUUGAAUGUGGAGGAGUUAAAGUCAUUUUGGAGUUCUAGAGUCUGGAGCCAAGACCCCCAAUCUUCUGACCCUAUUACCCAGUGCCAGAGUGGUGCCCCUAAAACAGCUUUGACCAAGCUGAUGGAAGCUGACUCCCAGGACAUGUUUCCGGAGCCCAAGAUCGUGGGCGCUCUCGCUGUAGCUACUGGGACAGAAGCAUCUUCUGCUUGGCUUGGUCCACUGGUAGCGUGGAAAUUUGAAGGAGCUGGGCCCAAUCUUCCACCUCAUAGGAAGAACCUCCUGAAGAGGUAUGGACAGGCAAGCAAUGGAGAGGGUGGUGUUUGUAUCUGUUGUCUUUUCGUAACUUUAUUGAGUUACCAUUGAUAUGUUGGACCUGUGCAAUUUAAUGCCUACAAUUUGAGCUUUGCUACACAUAUAUAGCGAUGAAAACAUCACCACAGUCACAUCAGUGAAUCUAACCACAGUCCUCAGAAGCUUCUUUGGGCCAUUCUGCAAUCCAUCCACUCCCUAGUGGCCUG